rnacentral:rRNA from 1 species
GGCUUUUUGAUUAUAAUUUAAGGUCUAACCUGCCCAAUGAGGAUUUAAAUGGCCGCGGUAUUUUGACCGUGCAAAGGUAGCAUAAUCAUUAGUUUUUUAAUUGAAAGCUGGAAUGAAAGGUUGGAUGAGAAAUAAGCUGUCUCUAUUUAAUUUAUUUAGAAUUUUAUUUUUAAGUUAAAAAGCUUAAAUUUUAAUAGAAGACGAGAAGACCCUAUAGAGUUUUAUUUAUUUUUUAAAUAAGAUUAAUAGUAUUAAUUAUUUUUAUUUAAAAAAUAAAUUUAGUUGGGGUGAUUGAAAAAUUUAAUAAACUUUUUUUAUAUUUGUACAUUAAUAUAUGAUUAAUUGAUCCUUAGUUUAAGAUUAAAAGAUAAAAUUACCUUAGGGAUAACAGCGUAAUUUUUUUUGAGAGUUCAAAUCGAAAAAAAAGAUUGCGACCUCGAUGUUGGAUUAAAAUAAAAUUUUGGUGUAGAAGCUAAAAUAUUUAGGC